GCCAGAACCCAAAAAGGAAGAAGAGAUCAGGGUCCCUUCAAGAGCACACCCCUCAUGAACUAACUUACUCCCACUAGGCCCCACCCCCUAAAGAUUCCACCACCUCCCAUAGCACCACCCUGAGGAGCAAGCACUUAACACAUGAGCCUUUGGGGAACAUUCAACAUCCAAACCAUAGCAGUGAGGAUGCUCUUUAAAAUCCAUAUCCCUUCUAGCUGUACCCAAAGUGUCAUGUCUACUAGAUAACCUGUUCACAGCUCAAAUUCAACCUGUCUUAGACCCUGACAAGCUUCUCCUGGCAUCUUCCUCUCUCCUUUCACACAGACCUGAAUCUUUGCCUAUUUUUGGCCCUGCUCCACUUCUAAUCAUUUACCAGUUGCAAUUCAACAAAUAUUUAUGAAGCACCUGCUAACUAUGGGCCACUGUGCAAGGUUCUGAAGGAAAGCAAAAUGGGUAAGAUUGGAAAUAAGUAUAUGGUAUUUUGUUUUUAAAGAAGAAAAAAAGAUUGCUGGAAGAAAAGGGGUUGAGGGAGGAAGGGUAGGGAAAAGGAAAGAGGACAGACAGAGGGAGAGAAGGAAGAAUUAAUGGGAGGGUGGAGAGGAGAGGGGGAAAGAUAUGAUAAGAUGUCCAAGGAAAAGGGAAAGGAUCAGGACAUUUCACUCCAUCUGGCCCCUCCCUAUCCCUACUCACUUUCCACGCCUCACAGAAUUCAAACCCUCAUUACAUCAGGCCUGGGGUAAUAAACCUAAGGUAAUCUAACCCUUUUCUAAUGAAUUCCCCAGCUGCCAGUUUCUCUGCAUUUUAGUCUAUCCUACACAUCACUGCACUCUUUGAUGUCACUCCCCUACUCAGAAUCCCUCUGUGCCCCCCUUCCCCACUUACCACAGAAGUUCCAGUUUUUCAGUCUGGCAUUCAAAGCUCUCAUUAAUCUCUAUCACCCAUUUCUCUGGCUGAGUCUUCCCCUCUCUACUUUCUCAUGCCCACUCCUUCCCUAAACUCAGGCACACUCUUCUCUGGCUCAGUCUGCAGCAGCCACUUAGAACUCUCUAGUCCUUCCCUCUCUACCUAUACAAACCCUAUCAAACCCAAAUGUGACAUCUAAGAAGCCUUUCCUCAUGACUCCUGCCUCCUGUGAACCCCUAAAACUAUUCCUUUGUACGACUAUUUUAACAUACCACACACUAAAUAGUAUUGUUGCUUCUUUGGGACUGGAAGCUUCAAGAUAGUAGAAAAACUAAGCAUAU
rnacentral:lncRNA from 1 species